rnacentral:rRNA from 1 species
AGAGUUUGAUUCUGGCUCAGGACGAACGCUGGCGGCGCGCUUAACACAUGCAAGUCGAACGGAGCUACAAUGGAAAGAGCCUUCGGGCAAUGGAAGCUGUAGCUUAGUGGCGGACGGGUGAGUAACACGUGAGCAACCUGCCUUUCAGAGGGGGAUAACGUUUUGAAAAGAACGCUAAUACCGCAUAACGUAUCUUUUUCGCAUGGAAGAGAUACCAAAGGAGCAAUCCGCUGAAAGAUGGGCUCGCGUCCGAUUAGCUAGUUGGUAGGGUAAAGGCCUACCAAGGCGACGAUCGGUAGCCGGACUGAGAGGUUGAACGGCCACAUUGGGACUGAGACACGGCCCAG